AAAACAUGAAACUUAAAAAUUUAGUUGCAGAUACGUAGAAAAGACAUACUAUAGUUUAAGAAACCAUGUUCAGCUUCUUAUAAUUACAAUGGAAAUAACAAUAAUAAUUCAAGUAACAAUAACAUAAUGGAAACCUUAUUACAAUCUGAUCUGAACAAACUUAAGAAGAAAUAAAAACUUAAAUGCUUAAAAAACCAAGUCCGA
rnacentral:lncRNA from 1 species